GACGAACGCUGGCGGCGUGCUUAACACAUGCAAGUCGAACGGAAAGGCCCUGCUUUUGUGGGGUGCUCGAGUGGCGAACGGGUGAGUAACACGUGAGUAACCUGCCCCUGUCUUUGGGAUAAAUUCAGGAAACUGGGGCUAAUAUCGGAUAGGAGCUCCUGCUGCAUGGUGGGGGUUGGAAAGUUUCGGCGGUUGGGGCUGGACUGGCGGCUUAUCAGCUUGUUGGUGGGGUAGUGGCUUACCAAGGUUUUGACGGGUAGCCGGCCUGGGAGGGGUACCGGGCACAUUGGGACUGAGAGACGGCCCAGACUGCUACGGUAGGCAGCAGUGGAGAAUAUUGCACAAUGGGCGGAAGCCUGAUGCAGCAACGCCGCGUGCGGGAUGACGGCCUUCGGGUUGUAAACCGCUUUCGCCUGUGACGAAGCGGGAGUGACGGUAAUGGGUAAAGAAGCACCGGCUAACUACGUG
rnacentral:rRNA from 1 species